UAAUACGAAGGGGGCUAGCGUUGUUCGGAAUUACUGGGCGUAAAGCGCACGUAGGCGGAUAUUUAAGUCAGGGGUGAAAUCCCAGAGCUCAACUCUGGAACUGCCUUUGAUACUGGGUAUCUUGAGUAUGGAAGAGGUUAGUGGAAUUGCGAGUGUAGAGGUGAAAUUCGUAGAUAUUCGCAGGAACACCAGUGGCGAAGGCGGCUAACUGGUCCAUAACUGACGCUGAGGUGCGAAAGCGUGGGGAGCAAACA
rnacentral:rRNA from 1 species